AAUAUAUAUAUACCAAAAAUAUUGAAUAGAACAAAAGUUAUUUCAAGUGACAGAUUAUCGUGAGACCGUGUCUUCCCACGUCGCUAACUCCCAUUUUGCCGACAAAUAAACCAGUUAUAUUAUCAUUUUGAAUUGAAAUAUUAUUGUUACAAUCAAAUUAUUGUUACUGAAAAAUCUAAAGUAAAUAUAUAAAUUUAGUAUUAUCGGAAAUACAAAAUCUAUUGACAAUAACAACAUAAAUAAUCAACGAUCAUAUAGAUGUUCAAAAGAAUUUUUCUUAUUAUUUUCAUAAUUUAAGUUUAGUAGAGUGACAAUUGAAGACAACUAGUGUAAUCCCCGCAAAAACGACAACGAAAACUAGUUGUUUUAACAUGAUUUAUAAUGGAAUGGAGUCAUGAAUAGGUGCACUUUAAGCAACGUACGUCAUAAGUAAGUAUUAACAAAAGAAAAUGUUGUCGGCAAAAUGGGAUUCGGCGACGUGGAAAUGAACCCGUGGCACGCACUGUAUAAUACGCAGUUUUAGAAUGAAAUCACACACUAAUCGCAACAUAUUUUAAAUUAACAAAAACGCUGUAUAAUAUUGAACAAAUAUUAGCACGAUAAUAUCAAUAUCUACAAACAUAUAUGUUUCAUUUGUUGAUAAAAUAGUAUUGUGAUAAUUUGUAUAUUGUGUAUUUAUUAUUGUUAUAGUCGUGAAUUCUAAUUAAUAUGCGUCGAGUACAAUAGCUUUUACCGUCUGAUCAUAACAAUAUUAUAAAAUUUCAAUUUCGUUUUCAAUAAAAAUAACAUACGCAGUACAGUAGAUACGGGGAUGUACCGGGGGUUCAUCCAGAUCCGAACAAAAAUAAAUUACUUUUGUUUAUCUAUAACGAUGAAUAGCGGUUUGAUUGUGUUACACGUAUACUAUUUGACAUGUAUCAUUCGCUGUCUCGCAUACACACUUAUUUUAUACGAAAUUGUCAAGUAUACUCGUACAUUGAUAAUACGAAGAACAUUGACCACACAAUGGUUUUAGUGUUACACACCCUGUGACUAUGUGUGCAGUACUCGAUGAAUAGUGUCAACCUUUGUUCUUCUUAUUCCGGGACUGAUCGGAUACGCUAGUCUACACGUCGUACAACCGAAUCGGACGACGUUUUAAAUGAUAAUAAGAUAUUGUUUAAUAAUCGACUUUUCUAACAAUUUUAAAAUUACCGUAGGCCCUUCGAUUCAUAAUAUUCAAAUCGUAAUAAACCAUACGAACGUUUAAGUUCUGUACAAAUAAUAUUAUUAUAAAAUCAAAUAAAAAAAAACAUUAGAUUAUAAAAAAUUUCAAGAGGUGUCUGUUUUUGUUAUUGAUUUUUUUUUCUCUUUUAAUCUCUCCCCACAGGAGAAAAAAUCGUAUUUACGCCAUUGUAAUAUUAUUAUGUAUAUAGUCAAUAAUCACAUCAUUCAAUCAAUACGCAAUAUGUAAUAACAAUAAUUUUGAAUUAUUUCGACAAUUCGUAUAGGCACUCGUAUAAUUAAUUUUUUUUUUUCCUUUUAAUAAUAAUACAGUAAGAAUCGGGAAUAGCCGUUGUCGUUACGCAACUACCGAAAUUAUCGUAUUAUUUACAAACUUGGGAACAUUAGGUAUCAGUUUUACGAGAAUUUGUGUGGUUAUACAUUAUAAUACAAUCGAAUGUCAUUGAAAAUCCGUUCUCAUAUUUAAUAUUCUGCGCCGGUGUCGAGUUUAUAGGUAGGUAUAUAUUAUAAUAGCAACUACAGGCAUCAUAUAAAUUUCAAAAACCGCGAUAUUGCGUUCGAAUUUUCUCUUUCUGUUCGCACGAUAGUCUAUAAUAGGUAUAGAGGUAAACGCGCCUAUACAUAAUAAUACAAUGAGUAAAAAGCAAAAUCUAUUUUACGUACCUACGUACUGUGUAGGCGAACGAUCGGCCGUCGUGGAUCGGUUGAUAAACAGGUAUAAAUUAUCCGAUUCAUUGGUCGGAUAGAGCUCACGGAAAUCGGUACCUAUAUAAACAACUGUAGGUACAGGUGUAUAAUUUGUAUGGUUUUUUUUUUUUUUCAUUUUAAUAAUCGCAGGCAUAUUUCCAUAUUUAUGGGUACACCGCCGGUAGUCACCAACUCGAAUGCGCUGAGGACGAAACUCUUAUAAAUAAGUACAAUAUUAUUAUAUAGGCACAGUAAAUAGUGCGUGGAAAGGGCGUUUGAGUGUGCACUUACACCGCCCGCAAAUAUAAUAACACGCACUCGGAAUAGUACAUAAAUAUAAACAUAUCGGCGGAGAAACGGUUGUCAGAAGAAGUGAGUUUAUCGUUGUGAAAAAAAAUAAACGUUGCAAAUAGCUAUAUUGACAAUAUGUCAAAUAUUACUUAUAUUAUUGUUAUUGACAUUUCGACCCUUAUUUUUCGUUUUCGUUCGAUAUGCUCAAUAUCAAUAUAUUUUACACGAUACAAUGUAUACAUAAACUGUAUAUUAUGGUACCCAUGUGUUAUUUGUGACGCGGCUCCAUUAUAAUUUCGAGCGAACGGAAAACGAAUUUCACCAGAGGCGGAUAUAAGAGUUAGAUCAGGGGGAGUCUAAAAAAAUGCACUUUUCAUAAGCG
rnacentral:lncRNA from 1 species